AGUGAAUUAUAGUAUUAAAAUAGGAAUUAUACCAGAUUCCUAUAUUGGUGAUCUAAAUGCUAGAUCUAACAAAAAAACAAUAUAUUAGUAUAUUUUUUUUAAACUAAUGUUAAAAUAUAAUAGAUUUUACCUUAACCCUAUCAGUUUGGCUGAAGAAACUAUUAGUUCAGUGACAACAGAUAACAUCACAAUGGAAUCAGCAAUUUCCUAUGACUCUUUCUGGCAUCAAUGUCUGGAGGUUUGGCUCAGACAAAUAGAAAUGGAUUUUUCCUUAUCAGUAAUUAAUCAAAAUCCAAAUAGAUUUAACUGUGUUAUUAUAUCACUAGAUAAAAUAACUUAAAACAAAUUUCAGACAUUCUCCAUAACCCCCUGUCUACAAACAUUUAUCCAAAUAUCAAAAGUGCAUAAUUGCAUGUUUUGCAGACAACAGUAAAUGCAAACUAAAAACAUUACUAACUGACAUCCACCUUGGAAAUAAGAAAUAAUUCUAGCUAUUACUUGCAAUAUCAAGAUACUUUACAUGCAAAGAUACUUUGUCUAAAGAAGCACUGAAGUCUCUUUAAUUAUGAUGAUCAAUUACCAAUGUACAAGUGCUUUUUUCUGACAGCAAGAACAACCUUAUCCAAUUGUCCAUUAUGUCAGACUAAAUCAUGGAUGGAAGUAAUGGUGAUCUCUUCUAUUCACUUUAUAAAAUUGCAUCCAAAACCUAAAAAUAAACCAGUUAGUAUCAUUCACUGAUCAGAAUUUUACUGUUAUUUAGGAAAAAUCAAAAACUCUACAAAUGACAAUUGCAUCCCUCACAGAACAUUGUAAUCUCUCAAGAUUUUGAAAAUUCAAUCACUCAUAAACUCUGUCAUGUCUUCAUGAUAUACACACUGAGUAUGCUUUGUUGGUAGCAUGCAAAUGUGUUCUCACCUGUUAUAAUAAAGUCAUUAGAAAGGUGAAAAGAUCUUCCUGGAAAAAAUGCUGUCAAGGAAUUGAGGCUAUAUUUGAUGUAUCCAGAUUAGCAAAGACAAUGUUGAAAAGGAAUUAUUACAAGAUUAUACUAUCAAAUUGUCAGAUGGUAGAAUGAUUAAUGCUUGUAAGAACUCAUUAAAGGAACUCUUUUGAGUAUACUUUCCUGAAUCUACUUUGAUUGAGG
rnacentral:lncRNA from 1 species